rnacentral:rRNA from 1 species
GUCUUUUUGAUUUAAAUAUAAAGUAUAACCUGCCCAUUGAAAUUUUAAAAGGCUGCGGUAUAUUGACCGUACAAAGGUAGCAUAAUCAUUAGUUUUUUAAUUGAGAACUUGUAUGAAUGGUUGAAUGAGAAAUUAACUUUUUUAAUUAAAAUAAUGAAUUUUACAUUUUAAUUAAAAGGUUAAAAUAUAUUUAAAAGACGAGAAGACCCUAUAGAGUUUUAUAAUUUAUAAUUUAAUAUUAAAAAAAUUAAUAAAUAUUUUUAUUUAAAUAAUUAUUUUGUUGGGGUGAUGAUAAAAUUUAAUUAACUUUUAUUUUUUUUUUACAUUGAUAUAUGGAUGGUUGAUCCACUAUUAGUGAUUAAAAAAUUAAAUUACCUUAGGGAUAACAGCGUAAUUUUUUUUUUAAGUUCAUAUUAAUAAAAAAUUUUGCGACCUCGAUGUUGGAUUAAGAUUUAAUUUUAGGUGCAGAAGUUUAAAAUUUAAGUCUGUUCGACUUUUAAAUUCUU